rnacentral:rRNA from 1 species
AUUGAACGCUGGCGGCAGGCCUAACACAUGCAAGUCGAGCGGUAACAGAUCCAGCUUGCUGGAUGCUGACGAGCGGCGGACGGGUGAGUAAUGCAUAGGAAUCUGCCCGAUAGUGGGGGAUAACCUGGGGAAACCCAGGCUAAUACCGCAUACGUCCUACGGGAGAAAGGGGGCUCCGGCUCCCGCUAUGGGAUGAGCCUAUGUCGGAUUAGCUAGUUGGUGAGGUAACGGCUCACCAAGGCGACGAUCCGUAGCUGGUCUGAGAGGAUGAUCAGCCACAUCGGGACUGAGACACGGCCCGA